AUUGAACGCUGGCGGCAGGCUUAACACAUGCAAGUCGAGCGGGGUGAUGGUGCUUGCACUAUCACUUAGCGGCGGACGGGUGAGUAAUGCUUAGGAAUCUGCCUAUUAGUGGGGGACAACAUCUCGAAAGGGAUGCUAAUACCGCAUACGUCCUACGGGAGAAAGCAGGGGAUCACUUGUGACCUUGCGCUAAUAGAUGAGCCUAAGUCGGAUUAGCUAGUUGGUGGGGUAAAGGCCUACCAAGGCGACGAUCUGUAGCGGGUCUGAGAGGAUGAUCCGCCAAACUGGGACUGGGACACAGCCCAGACUCCUACGGGAGGCAGCAGUGGGGAAUAUUGGACAAUGGGGGGAACCCUGAUCCAGCCAUGCCGCGUGUGUGAAGAAGGCCUUAUGGUUGUAAAGCACUUUAAGCGAGGAGGAGGCUCUUUUGGUUAAUACCCAAGAUGAGUGGACGUUACUCGCAGAAUAAGCACCGGCUAACUCUGUGCCAGCCGCCGCAGUAA
rnacentral:rRNA from 1 species